rnacentral:rRNA from 1 species
AUUGAACGCUGGCGGCAGGCCUAACACAUGCAAGUCGAGCGGUAACACAGGGAGCUUGCUCCUGGGUGACGAGCGGCGGACGGGUGAGUAAUGUCUGGGAAACUGCCUGAUGGAGGGGGAUAACUACUGGAAACGGUAGCUAAUACCGCAUAACGUCGCAAGACCAAAGAGGGGGACCUUCGGGCCUCUUGCCAUCAGAUGUGCCCAGAUGGGAUUAGCUAGUAGGUGGGGUAACGGCUCACCUAGGCGACGAUCCCUAGCUGGUCUGAGAGGAUGACCAGCCACACUGGAACUGAGACACGGUCCAGACUCCUACGGGAGGCAGCAGUGGGGAAUAUUGCACAAUGGGCGCAAGCCUGAUGCAGCCAUGCCGCGUGUAUGAAGAAGGCCUUCGGGUUGUAAAGUACUUUCAGCGGGGAGGAAGGCGAUAAGGUUAAUAACCUUGUCGAUUGACGUUACCCGCAGAAGAAGCACCGGCUAACUCCGUGCCAGCAGCCGCGGUAAUACGGAGGGUGCAAGCGUUAAUCGGAAUUACUGGGCGUAAAGCGCACGCAGGCGGUCUGUCAAGUCGGAUGUGAAAUCCCCGGGCUCAACCUGGGAACUGCAUUCGAAACUGGCAGGCUAGAGUCUUGUAGAGGGGGGUAGAAUUCCAGGUGUAGCGGUGAAAUGCGUAGAGAUCUGGAGGAAUACCGGUGGCGAAGGCGGCCCCCUGGACAAAGACUGACGCUCAGGUGCGAAAGCGUGGGGAGCAAACAGG